UACGUAGGGUGCGAGCGUUGUCCGGAAUUACUGGGCGUAAAGAGCUCGUAGGUGGUUUGUCGCGUUGUUCGUGAAAUCUCACGGCUUAACUGUGAGCGUGCGGGCGAUACGGGCAGACUUGAGUACUGCAGGGGAGACUGGAAUUCCAGGUGUAGCGGUGGAAUGCGCAGAUAUCAGGAGGAACACCGGUGGCGAAGGCGGGUCUCUGGGCAGUAACUGACGCUGAGGAGCGAAAGCGUGGGGAGCGAACAGG
rnacentral:rRNA from 1 species